UCAAGAAACUUCCACAAUGGGCGAAAGCCUGAUGGAGCGACGUCGCGUGAUGGACGAAGUGCUUCGGCACGUAAACAUCUUUUAUGUGGGAUGAAAUUAUUGACAGUACCACAUGAAUAAGGGGCCCCUAACUCUGUGCCAGCAGGAGCGGUAAUACAGAGGCCCCAAGCGUUAUCCGGAAUCACUGGGCGUAAAGGGUGUCGAGGCGGUUGUAUUAGUCGUUCGUAAAAUCUACGAGCUUAACUUGUAGGCGGCGAACGAAACGGUACGACUUGAGGUUUGGAGAGGUGCGUGGAACUCACGGUGUAGGGGUGAAAUCCGUUGAUAUCGUGGGGAACACCAAAGGCGAAGGCAGCGCACUGGCCAAAAUCUGACGCUCACACACGAAAGCUAGGGUAGCGAAGAGGAUUAGAUACCCAGGUAGUCCCUGAGCGGGC
rnacentral:rRNA from 1 species